GAUGAACGCUAGCGGCAGGCCUAAUUACAUGCAAGUCGAGCGGCAAGUCGAGGAGUAAUCUAAGACCUAGAGCGGCGCACGGGUGCGUAACGCGUAUGCAACCUACCUCAUACAGGGGGGAUAGCCCGGAGAAAUCUGGAUUAAUACCCCCAUGGUACUAUGAAGCGGCAUUGUUUUAUAGUUAGAGAUUCAUCGGUAUGAGAUGGGCAUGCGUCUGAUUAGCUAGUUGGCGGUGUAACGGACCACCAAGGCGACGAUCAGUAGGGGUUCUGAGAGGAAGGUCCCCCACACUGGCACUGAGAUACGGGCCAGACUCCUACGGGAGGCAGCAGUAGGGAAUAUGGGCAAUGGACGAGAGUCUGACCCAGCCAUGCCGCGUGCAGGAAGACGGCGUUCUGCGUUGUAAACUGCUUUUAU
rnacentral:rRNA from 1 species